UGGCGGACGGGUGAGUAACGCGUGGGUAACCUGCCUCAUACAGGGGGAUAACAGUUAGAAAUGGCUGCUAAUACCGCAUAAGACCACGGUACUGCAUGGUACAGUGGUAAAAACUCCGGUGGUAUGAGAUGGCCCCGCGUCUGAUUAGGUAGUUGGUGAGGUAACGGCCCACCAAGCCGACGAUCAGUAGCCGACCUGAGAGGGCGACCGGCCACAUUGGGACUGAGACACGGCCCAG
rnacentral:rRNA from 1 species